rnacentral:rRNA from 1 species
CCUACGGGUGGCUGCAGUGGGGAAUAUUGCACAAUGGGGGGAACCCUGAUGCCGCGACGCCGCUUGAGUGAAGAAGUGAUUCGUUAUGUAAAGCUCUAUCAGCAGGGAAGAAAAUGACGGUACCUGAGUAAGAAGCCCCGGCUAACUACGUGCCAGCAGCCGCGGUAAUACGUAGGGGGCAAGCGUUAUCCGGCUUUACUGGGUGUAAAGGGAGCGUAGACGGCAGUGCAAGUCUGGAGUGAAAGGCCGGGGCUCAACCCCGGGACUGCUCUGGAAACUGUAUGGCUGGAGUGCAGGAGAGGCAAGUGGAAUUCCUGGUGUAGCGGUGAAAUGUGUAGAUAUUAGGAGGAACACCAGUGGCGAAGGCGGCUUACUGGACUGUAACUGACGUUGAGGCUCGAAAGCGUGGGGAGCAAACAGGAUUAGAUACCCGAGUAGUC